rnacentral:rRNA from 1 species
GGACGAACGCUGGCGGCGUGCCUAAUACAUGCAAGUCGAACGGUCUUUCUAUGGAAGCUUGCUCCACUGAGAAGAUAGUGGCGAACGGGUGAGUAACACGUGGGUAACCUGCCCAUAAGAGGGGGAUAACAUCCGGAAACGGGUGCUAAUACCGCAUAGUUUCUUGAUCGCAUGAUCGGAAAGGAAAGACGGCCUUUGUGCUGUCGCUUAUGGAUGGACCCGCGGCGUAUUAGUUAGUUGGUGAGGUAACGGCUCACCAAGACGAUGAUACGUAGCCGACCUGAGAGGGUGAUCGGCCACAUUGGGACUGAGACACGGCCCAAACUCCUACGGGAGGCAGCAGUAGGGAAUCUUCCGCAAUGGACGAAAGUCUGACGGAGCAACGCCGCGUGAGUGAAGUAAAAGGUUUUUCGGAUCGUAAAACUCUGUUGUCAGAGAAGAACAAGUUGGAGAGUAACUGCUCCAGCCUUGACGGUAUCUGACCAGAAAGCCACGGCUAACUACGUGCCAGCCGCUGC